CACCAAGGCUUAGACGGGUAGCUGGUCUGAGAGGACGACCAGCCACACUGGGACUGACACACGGCCCAGACUCCUACGGGAGGCAGCAGUGAGGAAUAUUGGACAAUGGGCGAAAGCCUGAUCCAGCAACGCCGCGUGAGUGAUGAAGGCCCUCGGGUUGUAAAGCUCUGUCAGGGGGGACGAGAACGGACGGUACCCCCGAAGGAAGCACCGGCUAACUCCGUGCCAGCAGCCGCGGUAAUACGGAGGGUGCGAGCGUUGUCCGGAAUUACUGGGCGUAAAGCACGUGUAGGCGGUCCGUUAUGUCGGAUGUGAAAUCCCAAGGCUCAACCUUGGAACUGCGUUCGAAACUGGCGGACUUGAGUGCGGGAGGGGAUGGUGGAAUUCCCGGUGUAGAGGUGAAAUUCGUAGAUAUCGGGAAGAAUACCGGUGGCGAAGGCGACCAUCUGGCCCGCUACUGACGCUCAGACGUGAAAGCGUGGGGAGCAAACAGAAUUAGAUACUCUGGUAGUCCACGCUGUAAACGAUGGAUACUAGGUGUUGGGGGUAACAAUUCCCUCAGUGCCGUAGCUAACGCGUUAAGUAUCCCGCCUGGGAAGUACGGCCGCAAGGCUA
rnacentral:rRNA from 1 species